UGAGUAAGCGGCGGACGGGUGAGUAACGCGUAGGAAUCUACCUAGUAGUGGGGGACAACUCGGGGAAACUCGAGCUAAUACCGCAUACGCCCUACGGGGGAAAGCGGGGGACCUUCGGGCCUCGUGCUAUUAGAUGAGCCUGCGUUGGAUUAGCUAGUUGGUGGGGUAAAGGCCUACCAAGGCGACGAUCCAUAGCUGGUCUGAGAGGAUGAUCAGCCACACCGGGACUGAGACACGGCCCGGACUCCUACGGGAGGCAGCAGUGGGGAAUAUUGCGCAAUGGGCGAAAGCCUGACGCAGCCAUGCCGCGUGUGUGAAGAAGGCCUUCGGGUUGUAAAGCACUUUCAAUUGGGAGGAAAGGUUCACGGUUAAUAACCGUGAGCUGUGACGUUACCUUUAGAAGAAGCACCGGCUAACUCCGUGCCAGCAGCCGCGGUAAUACGGAGGGUGCGAGCGUUAAUCGGAAUUACUGGGCGUAAAGCGCGCGUAGGUGGUCUGUUAAGUCGGAUGUGAAAGCCCCGGGCUCAACCUGGGAACUGCAUCCGAUACUGGCAAACUAGAGUGCGGGAGAGGGAGGUAGAAUUCCAUGUGUAGCGGUGAAAUGCGUAGAUAUGUGGAGGAAUACCAGUGGCGAAGGCGGCCUCCUGGCUCGACACUGACACUGAGGCGCGAAAGCGUGGGGAGCAAACAGGAUUAGAUACCCUGGUAGUCCACGCCGUAAACGAUGUCUACUAGCUGUAGGGGUACUUGAGACCUUUGUAGCGCAGCUAACGCAAUAAGUAGACCGCCUGGGGAGUACGGCCGCAAGGUUAAAACUCAAAUGAAUUGACGGGGGCCCGCACAAGCAGUGGAGCAUGUGGUUUAAUUCGAUGCAACGCGAAGAACCUUACCAGGCCUUGACAUCCUCGGAACUUUCUAGAGAUAGAUUGGUGCCUUCGGGAACCGAGUGACAGGUGCUGCAUGGCUGUCGUCAGCUCGUGUCGUGGAGAUGUUGGGGUUAAGUCCCGUAAC
rnacentral:rRNA from 1 species